GACGAACGCUGGCGGCGUGCUUAACACAUGCAAGUCGAACGGAAAGGCCCUGCUUGCUGUGUACUCGGGUGGCGAACGGGGGAGUAACAAGUGGGUGGUGUGCAAUGCACUUCGGGAUAAGCGUGGGACACUGGGAAUAAUACCGGAUAGGGGCUAUUUUGAGUGUGUUGGUUGGAGGGUUUUUUCGGUGUAGGAUGAGCUCGCGGCCUGUCAGCUCGUUGGUGGGGUAAUGGCCUACCAAGGCGGCGUCGGGUAGCCGGCCUGAGAGGGUGGACGGCCACAUUGGGACUGAGAUACGGCCCAGCCUCCUACGGGAGGCAGCAGUGGGGAAUAUUGCACAAUGGGCGCAAGCCUUAUGCAGCGACGCCGCGUGGGGGAUGACGGCCUUCGGGUUGUAAACUCCUUUCGCUAGGUACGAAGCUUUUGUGACGGUACCUAGAUAAGAAGCACCGGCUAACUACGUG
rnacentral:rRNA from 1 species